rnacentral:lncRNA from 1 species
AAGUAAUAGGUUUCCCUAAAGAUUGUCUUUUUUCUUAUCUAUUAUGAUUUUUGUGAUUCAGCCUUGUAUAACAAUAUUGCUAAAGAAUUAAAAGGAAUUGUGCUCCCUAGUUUGGAAAUUACAAGUAGAAGUGUAGAAAUUGAAGGAUGAUUCCACUUAUCUAUAGCUUAUAUAAAAUUUAGAUAGGCAUUUAUCUUCCACUAUAUGCACCACAUUUAGAUAAAGAUAAUAUUUUAUUUGUGAAUACAAGAUUACAUAACUAUUA